AUUCCAUGCGACUGAAUACCAAAAAUUCAUAUCGAUGGCUUUCUGGGAUAAACUGAACGUGAAUGUGAAUAUAAUGGCUAGUGGGAAAUAAGUGGACUGAAAACAGUUUUGUGAUUGAUGUAUGCGGCUGCACGUCAUCCUCUACUAAUGACGUCUGGGAGAAGCAAGAUAUUAACCAGAUGGCCAUACAUACUGGCUUUUAGCCUUUUAAAGCUUGCAGAACAAUUCAAAUUUGGGGAAUAUGCUGAGGUUCACUGGACUUGGCCCUGAAUCUUUUGCUGCUUGUGCUUCACAAUUAUGGUGCAAGGAAUUCUCGUGUUUGAAAAUACCACUGACACAUGACAGUAACUUUCAAUUUGUGCAUAAGUUAAAAGUCCUAGCUGCAACACUUGGACUACCUUCUCAAGCCUCUUGUCAUGACAUUCGGCGUUGGUACCUGUGCCAUUACUAUGCAUCUUCUCCCAGUCUUUCAAGCAGAAUAAUUCCUGUGUUCUAACUUUGGUCUCAACAUUACUUUUACACUAAUUCUUCUUUGGAGUGGUUCCAGUAUCACCUCCACCAGGAGUCCAGGUUUGAUAAUUGGUAUGGUGGUUCAGCCAAGUUGCAUUGGAACUGUUAAGCUUUUCCCAUCGACCACUUUGCUGUUCAAAAAUCAGUAUUUCUUUCACAAAUGAUUAUUUUAUCCUUCCUGCCAUCAUUCCGAAUUCGUGGCCUGUAUCAAGCAUCAACUGCAACAUUUCAUCCCUCAAGUUGUUUAUGAUAAUUGGAGGAAUUUGGCAAGACCUGACUGUACACAGCUUGUGCAAUUGUGCUUAUACAGCAUAAUGUUGGAGCUGCUUCGGUCCUCAAUUCAGCCAACCCCGCCAUGAUAUAUUAGAGCCCAAGAUGAACUAUGUGCCACUAUCUAUCUUGCAGCCCUGCUUCAAAUGCCCAAAAGGUUGAACCAACAUUGGACCAAAAUGGACCCUUUCAUAUUAUCGGCAGUUUCAGGUAGAUAUUCAUGUUCCCUCUACUUAUUUAUAUUGUGUAUGGUAGCUAAGCUAGGGUUAAAUUGACCGUGGUGCACCACUUUGAGGACUUAUAUAAUCUACAUGAAUAUAGGGUGAUUAUGAGGCUAAGUAGUGGUAAAAUAUUUUUUUACCCUGGUGCCCAAUGCACCAGGUUAGAUUAAUGUGGUGUCACACUUGAUUCUAUAUAAAUUAAGUAUACAUGGAAGCAAUAUAUUUUCAUACGAUUGUAAAGUAGCGCAUUACAAAGUUGCAA